AUCGAACGCUGGCGGCAGGCCUAACACAUGCAAGUCGAACGAGUGGCGGACGGGUGAGUAAUGUCUGGGAAACUGCCUGAUGGAGGGGGAUAACUACUGGAAACGGUAGCUAAUACCGCAUACCAUCAGAUGUGCCCAGAUGGGAUUAGCUAGUUGGUGGGGUAACGGCUCAUCAAGGCGACGAUCCCUAGCUGGUCUGAGAGGAUGACCAGCCACACGGGAACUGGGACACGGUCCAGACUCCUACGGGAGGCAGCAGUGGGGAAUAUUCGACAAUGGGCGCAAGCCUGAUGCAGCCAUGCCGCGUGUAUGAAGAAGGCCUUCGGGUUGUAAAGUACUUUCAGCGGGGAGGCGUUACCCGAAGAGGAAGCAACGGCUAACUCCGUGCCAGCAGCCGCGGUAAUUC
rnacentral:rRNA from 1 species